CAGACUGUGAAAGGGGCCAUGGAUGCAAACAGCUGGACCCUGUAUUUCCUCUGCCAUCCAGACUGACUUUCUUUGGGAAAAUAAGAAAUGUGAUAUGAAAUCCUGAGUCCCACCAAAAACAGUUCAUCUAAUUUCAGUGUGAUCAAAAUGGAGUAGCUAAAUUCAGUCUCCUUCAGCAUUCAGUGCAGGAUUUGAGCACCUGCUAUGAGUCAAGUGGAAACUAUGUCAGGAUGCCAAGGAUGAGGAGAGAAAUAGACAGAUUAUUAUAAUACAGUACAAUAACAGCUCUCAUUGUGUCUCUCUAGGGACAGUGGAGACAGAUGAAGGAAGGGCAGAAAAAGAAAAAUAUACUGUGGAAGAGCACUGGAGUUGGAUCAAUGGGAAUGUGUUGUAUGACCAAGAGUUGAAGAUGUUUCAAGGAGAGGCCCAGCAUAUACAAAGGCAUGGAAGUAUGAAAAUGCUGCUGCUUAUUGAUGAAGUGAAAAUAGG
rnacentral:lncRNA from 1 species